rnacentral:tRNA from 2 species
CCGCAGAUGGAUAACUGGCUGAUCAUCAGCUCCGGCGUGAUCCAGGGCCUGGGCAUGGGAAUGGUGUUCGUGCCGCUGUCGACGGUC